AGGCUAGCCUUGAACUCACAACAAUCCUCCUGCCUCAGCCUCCCGUACCCCACUGUUUAGAUGAGGAAACCCAGGCUCACAGAGGUGAAAUGGCCACGAAUCACACGGAGGCGAGGAGCACCGUGGGAAGACCCGUCCCAGCCUGGUCCUUGCUGUGCCCUUUCCAGACGUGACCGGUGGGCCAGGUCAGCCUUGUGGUUUACAAGUGUAGGACACCUGUGAUGCUCUGGAGGCAGAGGACUGUGUGACCGCCCGAUUGCGACUGUGUGUCCUGCCCUGCACUCCUCCCACUUCCUGACCUCAGAGCCCAAGACAACACUGACAAUUAAGAACAGAUUUAAGCCUGAGUAUGACAGAAAGCAUCUCCAGGCAAAUACCCUCCCCUGGGUGUGCAGGUCAGCCAGUCAAUCAACAAACAGUUUCAGCAAGCACCCUGUGUCCUGCAGAGAGGCAAGGCCUAUGCAGAUAAUUACGUCUCGGGCCUGAGGGCGGCUCUCCGCUGACUUACCUGUGGGACACUGGGGCCCAGCAGGGGGCCGAGUCACCUGAGCGGACUCAACCCGACCCCGGGAGCCACUCCUGGAGGACAGCGCCCCCUCCGGAGCUGCAGACACCCAUAUCCCACCACCCAGGCCACCUCCGCGCCCGCCUUCCCUCCCGUCCUGUGUCCUCCCCCGGCCAGGCCAGAGCGCAGGAUCUGUCUGGGCCUCCUCUCUCCUGCUCGCCCUUGCCCUCCUCCCGAUUCCUGGCCCAGGGCUGCCCCCUCCACCACCCCUCACAACAGCCAGGAGCACCCCACAAAGCCUGCAGCACCCUCCCUGCCCAGCACCCCUCACUCCCUACUGUCUCCCUUGCCCCAAAGCUGUUCCUUGAACAUAUGUCCCAUGGCUGUGUAUGUGGGUCUAGGAGGAGGGCGCUAUGGAAGCAAGUGGGAAG